AUACGGAGGGUGCGAGCGUUAAUCGGAAUUACUGGGCGUAAAGCGUACGUAGGCGGUUGGUUAAGUUAGAUGUGAAAGCCCCGGGCUUAACCUGGGAACUGCAUUUAAAACUGGCGAACUAGAGUUGAGUAGAGGGGAGUAGAAUUUCAGGUGUAGCGGUGAAAUGCGUAGAGAUCUGAAGGAACACCAGUGGCGAAGGCGACUCCCUGGACUCGAACUGACGCUGAGGUACGAAAGCGUGGGUAGCAAACGGGAUUAGAUACCCCAGUAGUCC
rnacentral:rRNA from 1 species